AAAGUUGAAGUUCGGUUUAACUUAUUCUUCAAUCAUCAUACUUAUCAAAAUUAGAAGAGAAAAAUAAAAUUUCUUUAGAUUUUUUAAACUUUAAAAAAUGAUGCGCAUAACAUCUAAUCAAAAUGGUUGUGUAAUUAGCGAGUUCUCUGCAGAAGAAGAACCUAUUGAACUAUUUGGAAAGGUUUAACUUUCGACUAGAGUUCACAUACAAGGAGAAUAUUAUAUAUGAAUUAAUGAUUGUAGUUUUUAUGUCUUGGCUAAAUUACAAAAAACCCUCUGUCAAUAUUCAAUUUUUUACUUUUCCUUCCCGACUUUUAAAAAUUUAUAUUUUAUCCCCUUAAAAAAUAAAAAUAUUCACUUCAGAUCCUGCCGUCAGUAUUCCAUUAUGGUUUCGUUUAUAUCCUAUUAUUAUAUAUUUUUAUAUCCAAAAUACUUUUGUAUCCCUCCUUUCAGCAGCGUCGCCUCUCUCCUCGCCGAGGACGUCCUCAGCCGUGCCGCGUCGCCUUCCUCCGUCGCCUCGCCCUCACCCAUCCCUCUACCUAUACCUAUGCCCUCACCCUUCUCCGCCGUCUCACCCUCGCCUAUCCUCCAUUUCGUGUUUGCCCCGACCUUAGCCCCACCUUCGAAUGGAGGGUGAGGAUGGGAGUCAAGGAGGAGCAGAAAAAGCAGGUGGAGCAAGUGGCGUUGGAGCUGGGGUCGAGGAAGGCACGAAGGACGGGGGAGGAGAGGCUGCAGAUGAAGUAGGAUUUGGGAGGAGACGAAGAAGGCGCGAGCAAUUUGAUCAUUUUGUCAUCACAAUUAACACGGUACCCUUUUGUAAAUAUUUUUUAUUUUUUAAGGGAGUAAAAUAUAUGUUUUUAAAAGUCGAAGAAUUAAAGUGAAAAAGUGAGUAAUGACAGAAGGGUUUAUAUAAUUUAACCUUUAUUUUUUAAGCAAUGCUACAUAUACACCAUAUUUGGAGUGUAUAUUCUACAUCUCAACCAUCCAAUGGAUGAGGUGUUUUCACCGUCACCCAUUGGAUAGGUGGGGUGUAAGUAGUAUUUUCCUUAUUUUUUUAUUUCUUUAGAACUCCUUAAUGUCAUAUCUAGGUUUUGGAAAAGAAAUAUUAUUAUUUUUCAGCAACAAAAGUAAAAACUGAUAACUCACUUUUCUUUUUAUUUUUUCGGUUGAUUUUAAAGAAGUUGUCAUCUCUCGUUUGGCCGGGAUAUAUUCAUUGCUUAUUAUUAUAAGAAUAAAGAUGUCUAUCUGUCGACAUAUCUAAUUGUACAAAAUUUCUGCUAAGAAAAAACAAAAA
rnacentral:lncRNA from 1 species